rnacentral:misc_RNA from 1 species
GCACACCGCACACUGCGCCCACCCGCGCCCGCUGCCGCUGCCGCUGCCCUCGCCACGGCCGGAGCCGCCGCCAACCGGCAGGCCCCUACGGAACACGAACGACGGCAGCGUGGACACCGCGGAGGGGCUCAGCCCACCGUCGCCGUCGUCGGUGGUGCUCGGCAGGAAGAACGGCCGGGCCGCCACGUACACGACGGUUCCCCCCGGGCCACGGCGGCGGCGGCGGCAGCACAGGCAUUCGCAGAGGACGAUGAUGAGGACGGAGACGGCGGUGGCGCAGAAGCCGAUGGCGAGGAGCACAAGCGUGUCGUGCGUGCUGUAGCCGCCCUUGUCCGUGGAGUAGGGCAGCGAGUUGGUGUUCGACGACAGCGACAUGAUUUUUUGC